rnacentral:rRNA from 1 species
UGGGGAAUAUUGCACAAUGGGCGAAAGCCUGAUGCAGCAACGCCGCGUGAGCGAUGAAGGCCUUCGGGUCGUAAAGCUCUGUCCUCAAGGAAGAUAAUGACGGUACUUGAGGAGGAAGCCCCGGCUAACUACGUGCCAGCAGCCGCGGUAAUACGUAGGGGGCUAGCGUUAUCCGGAAUUACUGGGCGUAAAGGGUGCGUAGGUGGUUUUUUAAGUCAGAAGUGAAAGGCUACGGCUCAACCGUAGUAAGCUUUUGAAACUGAGAAACUUGAGUGCAGGAGAGGAGAGUAGAAUUCCUAGUGUAGCGGUGAAAUGCGUAGAUAUUAGGAGGAAUACCAGUUGCGAAGGCGGCUCUCUGGACUGUAACUGACACUGAGGCACGAAAGCGUGGGGAGCAAACAG